UCAAGAAGGAAGAUCGCCGAGUACUAAUGACAGUGGCAAAGAAUCUGGUAUAUGCUGAUUCAGAUGAAACAUUUCAAGAUGAAUGGAAUUGCUUUUGUCAGACCCCAGAAGCCCAAAAGUAUAACCAGUACAUGAGAUAUAGGCUACCGUACAAGAGGGAAAAAAUACAUACGUUGGUAUCUGGCAAAGCUGAUAGAAAGGAAGGAAGAAUGGAGUACUGUGUACAGGGCUGGAUUUUUGCUACGUGGACACCACACAAAUAAUUUUGCAGAAUCUACCAUGUGCAUCAUUAAAGAUAUCAUUCUCAACAG